UAUUCUGCCCCAUGGGGAAGGAUGAGAAGCUUCGACUAAGGUUCGACUCGAGCGAAGCGAGAGAACGUUGCCGCAGGCAACGGCCCGAAGGGCGAGGCGCUUUAGCGCCGAGU
rnacentral:sRNA from 1 species